rnacentral:ncRNA from 1 species
CAAAAAGCGUUGAUAGAAAAGAGUAAUUUUUCUAAACCUUCAAGGGAAUGUCUGCCAUUGACUGGAAGCAGAUUAAGGGGUUGAAAGAUGAAGUUCACUUCUGGAGCUUGUCGAAAGACCGGCAAAGCCGUUAAGAGUUGAGAGCGCCAAAAUGAAUUUUUGGCGAAUUAGGAUGGUACCGCGAGACCUCGUUCCUUUA